rnacentral:misc_RNA from 1 species
ACAUUCUUUUUCACAGUCCAGACAGCACUUGGAACACCAGGAAGCUGGGAGACAGCCAUUUCACUAACAGCUAAACCAGGCCGAAGUAUGCGCAAUGAAGACCGAGGACCCCUCCCACAAAGUGAAAAUAUUUGUGGAGUUUCUUCCUCAAAAAGAUUUACGAUCUUCAUGUCCAUGAUUGGCAUCAAGCUCUCAAUCUGAUCAAUCCUAACAAGAUUCUUUAGCUUUCUUGGCUGGAAAAAUACAGGCUGAAAGCCUUCUUCAGUUUCCAUUAACGUUGAUGAUGAAGCUUCAACAUCUGGAUCAUCUCCUAUAGCCUGAAACUGAUACAAUGCAUGA